rnacentral:rRNA from 1 species
UACGUAGGGGGGCGAGCGUUGUCCGGAUUCAUUGGGCGUAAAGAGCUCGUAGGCGGCUUGGCAAGUCGGGGUGUGAAAUCUCUGGGCUUAACUCAGAGAGGCCACUCGAUACUGCUAUGGCUAGAGUCCGGUAGGGGGACCAUGGAAUUCCUGGUGUAGCGGUGAAAUGCGCAGAUAUCAGGAGGAACACCGGUGGCGAAGGCGGUGGUCUGGGCCGGCACUGACGCUGAGGAGCGAAAGCGUGGGGAGCAAACAGG